rnacentral:rRNA from 1 species
UACGGAGGAUGCAAGCGUUAUCCGGAAUGAUUGGGCGUAAAGCGUCCGCAGGUGGCUAUGUAAGUCUGCUGUUAAAGAGUCUAGCUCAACUAGAUAAGAGCAGUGGAAACUACAAGGCUAGAGUACGUUCGGGGCAGAGGGAAUUCCUGGUGUAGCAGUGAAAUGCGUAGAGAUUGGGAAGAACACCGGUGGCGAAAGCGCUCUACUGGACUGCAACUGACACUCAGGGACGAAAGCUAGGGGAGCGAAUGGG